rnacentral:lncRNA from 10 species
UGUACAGAGUUUUAUCAUUCUUGACGAAUUAACCUUUUCUACUCUGGCAAGAUUGUUAUCCAAAACAAUGCUUUCCAAAGUUUUUCACAUACAGUACUCCAUCACAUCCUACUUCACUCUGCCUUUUUUACCGUCCCAAGGGCCAAGGGGAUUGAUAUCUCUACACUGCACUAUUCUUUUUAUGAGAACCCAAGAAUGUCA